GAUGAACGCUGGCGGCGUGCCUAAUACAUGCAAGUCGAGCGAACAGACGAGGAGCUUGCUCCUCUGACGUUAGCGGCGGACGGGUGAGUAACACGUGGAUAACCUACCUAUAAGACUGGGAAAACUUCGGGAAACCGGAGCUAAUACCGGAUAAUAUAUUGAACCGCAUGGUGCAAUAGUGAAAGACGGCUUUGCUGUCACUUAUAGAUGGAUCCGCGCCGCAUGAGCUAGUUGGUAAGGUAACGGCUUACCAAGGCAACGAUGCGUAGCCGACCUGAGGGGGUGAUCGGCCACACGGGAACUGAGCCGCGGUCCAGACUCCUACGGGAGGCCGCAGUAGGGAACCUUACGCAAUGGGCGAAAGCCUGACGGAGCAAGGCCGCGUGAGUUAUGAAGGUCUUCGGUUCGUAAAACUCUGUUAUUGGGGAAAAACAAAUGUGUACGUAACUAUGCACGUCUUGACGGUACCUAAUCAGAAAGCCACGGCUAACUACGUG
rnacentral:rRNA from 1 species